rnacentral:rRNA from 1 species
UACGUAGGGGGCAAGCGUUGUCCGGAUUUAUUGGGCGUAAAGAGCGUGUAGGCGGUUUGGUAGGUCCGCUGUGAAAACUCGAGCUCAACCUCGAGACGCCGGUGGAAACCAUCAGACUAGAGUCCGGAAGAGGAGAGUGGAAUUCCUGGUGUAGCGGUGAAAUGCGCAGAUAUCAGGAGGAACACCAAUGGCGAAGGCAGCUCGCUGGGACGGUACUGACACUGAGACGCGAAAGCGUGGGGAGCAAACAGG